UACGUAGGGUGCGAGCGUUGUCCGGAAUUAUUGGGCGUAAAGGGCUCGUAGGCGGUUUGUCGCGUCGGGAGUGAAAACUCAGGGCUUAACCCUGAGCCUGCUUCCGAUACGGGCAGACUAGAGGUAUGCAGGGGAGAAUGGAAUUCCUGGUGUAGCGGUGAAAUGCGCAGAUAUCAGGAGGAACACCGGUGGCGAAGGCGGUUCUCUAGUACGGUACUGACGCUGAGACGCGAAAGCGUGGGGAGCGAACAGG
rnacentral:rRNA from 1 species